AUACGGAGGGUGCAAGCGUUACUCGGAACCACUGGGCGUAAAGCGCGCGCAGGCGGCUAUUUAAGUUGGAUGUGAAAGCCUACGGCUCAACCGUAGAACUGCAUCCAAAACUAUUUAGCUAGAGUGUGGGAGAGGAAGAUGGAAUUAGUUGUGUAGGGGUAAAAUCCGUAGAGAUAACUAGGAAUACCAAAAGCGAAGGCAAUCUUCUGGAACACUACUGACGCUGAGGCGCGAAAGCGUGGGGAGCAAACAGGAUUAGAAACCCUAGUAGUCC
rnacentral:rRNA from 1 species